CCUCAGAUAAAUUCAGAUUAGAAAAUUUUUGGUGAACUAAACACUGCCUAACUUUACUGAGACCACGUUAACGCAAGCCGGAUUGAGAGUGGUCGUCUGAUCAAGAAAGAAGCCGAGGACGCGCUCAAGACUAGAAACACAAAUCCUGUUUGCAUAUCAGAAACAGAGAAAGAGAGAGAGAGACGAGAAUCAUGGCAACACUGGAGCAACUGGACCAGACCGAGAAUACGGUCAAAAAUAAAAAGAAGAUCAAUAAUGGGUCAAUCUCCACCAAGUUCUUUGUAAUUCUAGAUUAUGUUUUCCUCUUCAUUUUCUUCGUUUUCCUCUGCUUCAUUCUCCUCAAGUUACUCCAAAUUUAGAUUUGAUUCACUUUCUUCAACCCCUGCUUCAAUUUCCACCAAUGUUUCCACAUUUCAGGCUGCUCUUUGUGAUUUGCUUCAUAUGAUUAUGUACAAGAAUUUGAAGUACAACAGGUUGGUCAGAUUUAGUAUACAAGAGUACAAGACUACUUCACACAUGGAGCUAAUAUUUCCAGUUAAGAUAAAAGUAGAACCAGCAAUUUCAUUCAUGACAAUUUUGUAGUGGUUGCUGCCUUGCUGGUUAAUUUUUGUUUUCACUCCGACUUUCUAAUUGAAUAUGUUGAUUUCAGCUAAUGGUACUCAGUACUCCUAUUGUUAAAUUCAGUUUCUGUUUUUGUUUUUUUUUUCCUGAUAGGAUUAUAUUUAGGAUCUAUUUUAGAUCUUUCAGUGAUCAGACAUACUUGGCACUUCUGUUUACUGAUUAUACAUUGCACCUCUUUAUUAAUACAAUGUGAUAUUAAUGAUA